rnacentral:snRNA from 1 species
GUGCUCACUUUGGCAGCACAUAUACUAAAAUUGGAACGAUACAAAGAUUAGCACGCCCCCUGCGCAAGAAUGACAUGCAAAUUUGUGAAGCGUCCCAUAUUAAA